UACGUAGGGUGCAAGCGUUAAUCGGAAUUACUGGGCGUAAAGCGUGCGCAGGCGGCUUUGCAAGACAGAUGUGAAAUCCCCGGGCUCAACCUGGGAACUGCAUUUGUGACUGCAUGGCUAGAGUACGGUAGAGGGGGAUGGAAUUCCGCGUGUAGCAGUGAAAUGCGUAGAUAUGUGGAGGAAUACCGAUGGCGAAGGCAGCCCCCUGGGUCAAGAUUGACGCUCAUGCACGAAAGCGUGGGGAGCAAACAGG
rnacentral:rRNA from 1 species